GAUGUACAGAGAAAAGAUGUACCUUGGCAAUGAGAUCACGUCAGAAUGGGUUGUUCAUAAAUUCAUGUUUUGGUCACUGCCAAUCUGAGAGGCAGGAUACAUGGUUUGCUGACAACUCUCCUGCCAUUGGGAAGAAGGCACAUCAACAAAAUCAUUGUUUAAGGGGAUUGAAACAUGGAAAAAGGAAACCAUAAUAAAAAAAGGAAGCUGGUAAACAUCCUGUAUCAAACGGUGGCUAUUAUUGAAAAUGUAUAUUGGAAGGAGUUUGGCCUUCUUGUAUUUGUUUGGGUUUCAUUCCCUGCACUACAGAUUGGCAAGGAAAACUAUACGACUACUUGUCCAACAUUUUAUUGGGCACUGAACUUGUUACAGGGCAUAUCGUCACUCCUCCUGACAAGUUGGUUUGCAGCUCUAUAAAGAACCUUGGACAUGCACGAUCAGAGAAAACCUUUGCUCCCCUUCUGCCUUCCUUGCUUCGUCCGUCGCCUUUCUUGCUUAGUCCUUCCCUUUUGGUGGUUUUUUAACUCCUUUCUUCUUGCUUUCCUCCUUUCCUGGUUUCUACGCCACAACCACCUUUUCCAUGACCUUCUCCUUAUGUAUGUCUGUUAUAGAAUACUACCUGUUGAAACGUUUUCCAGUUCCUUAUGGUCAAUGGAUUGGCAUACAUUUAUAUCUGAUGAUGUUACAAUGCCAAAUGGAUGAGGAAAUAUGGAAGCCAAUUCUUUUACCAACUUGACCUUUUAUAUGGAGUCAAGCCUAAUGAUAAUGGUAUGGAGAAUGAUAAUGAUCAAAAUGUUGGUGCUAAAGACACUGAAAUGUAGUCGCAACCUAGUUAUCCUAGCUUUUCUAAUUAUUUCAUGACAGAUGCAUGUGUUUUGUGAAGCCUUGUGCUUUGUUAUUGAAUAAUUUUUUUUGAUUUUUUUAGGUUUUUUAAGAGCGUGAUAAAUUAUUAAAUUGGGCUUCACGUGUGGGAAAAGAGCAUGGGUUUGUAGUUGAGAUUUGUAAGUCAGAAGUAAGUAAAAAAAAUGUGGGUGUCAACUAGAACCCGAAAAUAUAGGUUUCCUUUUAAAUUAAAAGAGAGGUUUGUGAGAAUCAUAUGGUGGAGAGUUACUAUAGAAUGUGGUUUCCAUAACCAUAAAGUGAUGACAACACUACUUGGUCAUUCAUAUGUUAGUCGUAAGUAGUGAAGAAAAAACUAUGAUUAACCAGUUGACCAAAAACAUGGUGAAGCUUGGUCAAAUUUUGUUGACAAUCAAAGAUCAAGAUCAAACAAAUCUCAGCACCAUUAAAACCAUAUACAAUGAAUGUCAAAGAUAUCGUCGCAAACAAAGAGGACCAAGAACAAAAAUACAACAUUUGAUGAAGUUGAUAGAAUGCAACGGAUAUGUUUACCGGUUUAGAAGGCUAGACAAUGAAGAUGUCGUCAAAGAUAUAAUGUGAGCACAUACAGAUUCCAUCAAACUCCUAAAUUCAUUUCCAACAAUGUCGAUUUGUCAUACAACUUACAAGACAAACAAAUAUUGUCUUUUGAUAUUGGAAAUCGUUGGUUUCACUUCAAUAAACAUGAAUUUCAUUGUUUCCUUUGCUUAUUUAAGUUCUAAGAGAACGAAUAAUUUUGAAUGGGCUUUAAAUAAGGUGAAAGGAUUAUUUGUGAAAGAUUAUGUGUUAUCUCAGGUAAUUGUCAAUGAUAGGGAUCUUGCUUUCAUGAAUGCAUUAGAGACUGUGUUUUCUUCUUCAAUCAACUUGUUAUGUGUGUUCCACAUCAUAAAGAAUGUCAAGGCAAAAUGCAAAAUCUUGGUGGAUAAGGCUGAAGAGUGGCAAAAUAUCAUGGAUGUUUGGGAACUAUUGUUGUAAUCUUUGGAUGAAGAAUUGUAUAAUGAACGAUUGAAAAGCUUUACAAAC